AUGAAAGUGCAAGCUGACAAGAAGCGAUCCUUCAGAACUUUUCAAGUGGGCGACCGGGUGUUCCUCAAGUUACAACCGAAUAUUCAGUCAUCGGUGGCACCGCGGGCUAAUCACAACAAGUACUACGGGUCAUUCCCCAUCAUCGCCAAGAUCAACGAUGUGGCUUACAAGCUCCAACUCCUAGCCCAAGCAACAGUACACCCGGUGUUCCACGUCUCCCUCCUCCGGCAAGCACUCCUUCCAGUCAAGAUACAGUGGUCAAACUCUUCACACCUGGGAACCACAUGGGAGGACAAGAACAACCUUCAAGCUCGGUUUCCGCAUGCAGAGGCUUGGGGACAAACCUCCACAUAA
rnacentral:rRNA from 1 species